GACGAACGCUGGCGGCGUGCUUAACACAUGCAAGUCGAACGGAAAGGCCCUGCUUUUGUGGGGUGCUCGGGUGGCGAACGGGUGAGUAACACGUGAGUAACCUGCCCUUGACUUUGGGAUAACUUCAGGAAACUGGGGCUCAUACCGGAUAGGAGCUCCUGCUGCAUGGUGGGGGUUGGAAAGUUUCGGCGGUUGGGGAUGGACUCGCGGCUUAUCAGCUUGUUGGUGGGGUAGUGGCUUACCAAGGCUUUGACGGGUAGCCGGCCUGAGAGGGUGACCGGCCACAUUGGGACUGAGAUACGGCCCAGGCUCCUACGGGAGGCAGCAGUGGGGAAUAGUGCACGAUGGGCAGAAGCCUGAUGCAGCAACGCCGCGUGCGGGAUGACGGCCUUCGGGUUGUAAACCGCUUUCGCUCAUGACGAAGCUUUGUGUGACGGUAGUGGGUAAAGAAGCACCGGCUAACUACGUG
rnacentral:rRNA from 1 species